rnacentral:lncRNA from 1 species
UUUGGAAAGAUAGCAAACCCUAAACACCCUCUUCCAUUCCCUCAAGCUCGACGGCAAACCCCCCACCCCCACACCAUCGAAGACAUCAUUUUGUUCGAGCCAACUGAUUGGUUCGUAUCAAUAGCGACGGAGGUGACCUUAUGUGGAUAGUCGAUGGGGGUUUGGUUGACCAACUGAGAGCGGGUAAUCUAACAUAACAUGCCGAGCAAAUC